CAAGUCUUGACAUCGGAAUGACCGUCUCGUAACGGAGACUUCCCUUCGGGGCAUUCCAGACAGGUGGUGCAUGGUUGUCGUCAGCUCGUGUCGUGAGAUGUUGGGUUAAGUCCCGCAACGAGCGCAACCCUUAUCCUUAGUAGCCAGCAGUUCGGCUGGGCACUCUGGGGAGACUGCCAGGGAUAACCUGGAGGAAGGUGGGGAUGACGUCAAAUCAUCAUGCCCCUUAUGAUUUGGGCUACACACGUGCUACAAUGGCGUAAACAAAGGGAAGCGAAGGAGUGAUCCGGAGCAAAUCUCAAAAAUAACGUCUCAGUUCGGAUUGUAGUCUGCAA
rnacentral:rRNA from 1 species